rnacentral:piRNA from 1 species
GCAAAUGUGAAUUUCUUGGGAGUCUUAGAA